rnacentral:rRNA from 1 species
UACGUAGGUGACAAGCGUUGUCCGGAUUUACUGGGCGUAAAGAGCGCGCAGGCGGUCAAUCAAGUCGAGUGUGAAAGCCCCCGGCUCAACUGGGGAGGGUCAUUCGAUACUGAUCGACUCGAAGGCAGGAGAGGGUAGUGGAAUUCCCGGUGUAGUGGUGAAAUGCGUAGAUAUCGGGAGGAACACCAGUGGCGAAGGCGACUACCUGGCCUGUUCUUGACGCUGAGGCGCGAAAGCUAGGGGAGCAAACGGG